AACGCACAUUGCGCCCUUUGGUAUUCCGAGGGGCAUGCCUGUUCGAGCGUCAUUAUAACCACUCAAGCUCCGGCUUGGUAUUGGGGUUCGCGGUCUCGCGGCCCUUAAAAUCAGUGGCAGUGCCAUCUAGCUCUCAGCGUAGUAGUUUAUCUCGCUAUUGGGUCUGGUGGUUGCUUGCCAAUAACCCCUAACUUCUCACGGUUGACCUCGGAUCAGGUAGGGAUACCCGCUGAACUUAA
rnacentral:misc_RNA from 1 species